CUCAGGAUGAACGCUGGCGGCGUGCUUAACACGAUGCAAGUCGAACGGAAAGGCCUUGUGCUUGCACAGGGUACUCGAGUGGCGAACGGGUGAGUAACACGUGGGUGAUCUGCCCUGCACUGUGGGAUAAGCCUGGGAAACUGGGUCUAAUACCAUAUAGGACCGCAUCUUGGAUGGUGUGGUGGAAAGCUUUUGCGGUGUGGGAUGAGCCUGCGGCCUAUCAGCUUGUUGGUGGGGUAAUGGCCUACCAAGGCGGCGACGGGUAUCCGGCCUGAGAGGGUGUACGGACACAUUGGGACUGAGAUACGGCCCAGACUCCUACGGGAGGCAGCAGUGGGGAAUAUUGCACAAUGGGCGCAAGCCUGAUGCAGCGACGCCGCGUGGGGGAUGAAGGCCUUCGGGUUGUAAACUCCUUUCGCUAUCGACGAAGCCACUUGUGGUGACGGUAGGUAGAUAAGAAGCACCGGCUAACUACGUGCCAGCCGCCGC
rnacentral:rRNA from 1 species